rnacentral:rRNA from 2 species
UCGAUUGAGCGCGCAAUCGAGCGGCCGAUCGCUCGCACGGCGGCGCGGCUCGCUGCAAACGUGCCGAGGCGCACGCCUUCGCGCGAUCCCUCGGCGGCGGCUUGCGGCUCGGCGCCGUCGGGCCGCACGGUCCGCGGCGCAUCGCGUGCGGCGUCGCACGACGCGGCGCCGCACGCGCCCGGCAAACGUCAUGCGCGCGACGGCGUGCAUUCGGGCCCGCGGGCACCGGGCACGCGAGCGUCGACGCGCGGCGCAUGCGCGCCCCUGGCCCUCCCGCGCAUUUCGUAGGCGGGCCGUCACGGCGCAAGCCGGCUACGUCACACGUCACCCCUCACGCUGAGUAUGGCAUGCCGCAUGCCGUACUCAGCGUGCACCGCCUGGCCGAUCGAUAACCGCGAGCAAAUCGGCGAGCGCCUGCCUGCAUGCGCCAGCUUGCGGCCUGUCGGCGCGCAGCGCGGUGAGCGCACGAUCGAUCGCGUGGUCGACCGCGUGCCAAUCGGCCGCCGCGCGCGGCUUGAGCGACGGCUCCGCAUCGUCCCACGACGUUUCCAGAUCCUUGAUGCGCGCCUUCGCGCCGGCGAGGUCACCCUUGUCGACGCGUUGCGCGACGUCGACGGCGAUCGCACGGAACGGCGACAGAUCGCCGAGCUUCGAGACGGUCGCGGCUUCGGCCAUGCUCGGCGCGACGCCUGCCGGCGACACCGUGCCGAUGCCGAACGCGGCGAGCGCCAGCGCGGGCGCGGCGGCGAAGGCGAUGAGCUUGCGCUUGAUCAUGACAAACCUCCUCGUGUUGAACUCGAAUGAAACGGUGGAAUACGACGCCGCCUCCGGUUUGCGUCAACGUCAACGUCAACGUCAACGUCAACAGCAACAGCAACGUCAGCGGCAGCCGCGACGGCAAGACCUCAGCGCCCGCGCGCGCCGAGCCGGCCCGCGCGCGCGGCGGCGACACUCAGCCCCGCGACGAGCGCAACGAUCACCGCGAGAAACACGGCGCUCGUCCUGAUCGUGCCGAGCCCGAGGCCGCCGUACGCUUGCGCCUGCGACAGGAAAUCACCGAGCGACGCGCCGAGCGGACGCGUGAGGAUGUACGCGAGCCAGAACGCGAGCACGCGGUUCAUCCCGCCGAGCGCGGCCGCCGCGACGAGCGCGAUCGCGCCGCCGAACGCGACGAUCCCGAGCCGGAAUCCGAGGCCGAGCGCCUCGGUCGCGAGAUCGCCCGCCGCCGUGCCGAGCGCGAACGUCAGCAGGAUCGCGGCCCAGUAGAACCCCUCGCGGCGCGGCGUGACGAUCGUAUGGAUCGACAGCGUGCGCUCGCUGCGAUACCAGAGCGCGAACGUCGCCGCGAGCGCGGCGGCGAAAAG